ACCUGAAGUUCCUCCACCAAAUUUGAGGUCCCACCACAUCCAAUGAGGUUCCACCACCCAAACCUGAAGUUCCUCCACCAAAUUUGAGGUCCCACCACCCAAACUUGAGAUCCCACCACCCCCAAUGAGGUCCCACCACCCAAACCUGAGGUUCCUCCACCAAAUUUGAGGUCCCACCACCCAAACCUGAAGUUCCUCCACCAAAUUUGAGGUCCCACCACCCCCAGUGAGG